rnacentral:tRNA from 1 species
UGAGGCAUAGCUCAAUGGAAAGCGUGCUUGCCUGGCAUGCAUGAAGCCCUGGGUUCAAGUCCCAGCACUGCAU